UUGGGGGGCAGGAAGUGGCCCGUUCCUCCUUUCGGAGAGCGUUUCCGGAGCGCCUACUGUGUGCCCCACGCUGGGGGGUGGGGGCCGUAAUGGGGAGGAGAAGUCAUGCAGAUCCUAACGUUUGUUAGUCUGUUCCCUCCACUGGGAUCUCCCGCCGGCGGGUUGAUUGUUCCCAUUGCUUGGAGAGGAAACUGAGGCCCAGUUGGUCCGGGGAUUUACUGCCCGCCCCCCAACUGCACUAUUUACUUUGGUGGAAAAUGUGAAAUAACUCCCUGCCUCUCACUGGGAGCCGAUUGCUUACAGUCACUCUGGGACCUCCGCACAGCGGUAUGUUGUACUGGGGUGUACGGAUCCAUGGUAUUAAGUAUAUCCACAUUGUUGUACGGCCAUUUCCAGGACUUCUUCAUCUUCUCAAAUGGAAACUCUGCACCCGUUAAAUAGUAGCUCCCUAUUGCCUGUUUUCCCCAGCCCCUGGCAGCCACCAUUUUACUUUUUGUAUCGAUAAAUUUGA